GAGUUUGAUCCUGGCUCAGAACGAACGCUGGCGGCGUGCCUAACACAUGCAAGUCGAACGGAUUUGAGGGGCUUGCUCCUCAAGUUAGUGGCGCACGGGUGAGUAACGCGUAGAUAAUCUGCCUGAUGAUCUGGGAUAACACUUCGAAAGGGGUGCUAAUACCGGAUAAGCCCACGGGGUCUUUGGAUUCUGCGGGAAAAGGGGGGGACUUUCGGGCCUUCUGUCAUCAGAUGAGUCUGCGUACCAUUAGCUAGUUGGUAGGGUAAUGGCCUACCAAGGCUACGAUGGUUAGCUGGUUUGAGAGAAUGAUCAGCCACACUGGAACUGAGACACGGUCCAGACUCCAACGGGAGGCAGCAGUGGGGAAUUUUGCGCAAUGGGCGAAAGCCUGACGCAGCAACGCCGCGUGAGUGAUGAAGGCUUUCGGGUCGUAAAGCUCUGUCGAGGGGAAAGAAGUGUAUUGUGGCUAAUAUCCACGAUACUUGACGGUACCCCUAAAGGAAGCACCGGCUAACUCCGUGCCAGCAGCCGCGGUAAUAC
rnacentral:rRNA from 1 species